rnacentral:rRNA from 1 species
UACGUAGGGUCCAAGCGUUGUCCGGAAUUAUUGGGCGUAAAGAGCUCGUAGGCGGUGUGUCGCGUCGGAUGUGAAAGCCCGGGGCUUAACCCCGGGUCUGCAUUCGGUACGGGCAGACUAGAGUUCGGUAGGGGAGUCUGGAAUUCCUGGUGUAGCGGUGAAAUGCGCAGAUAUCAGGAGGAACACCGGUGGCGAAGGCGGGACUCUGGGCCGAUACUGACGCUGAGGAGCGAAAGCGUGGGGAGCAAACAGG